rnacentral:rRNA from 1 species
GCCAACUCCGUGCCAGCAGCCGCGGGAAUACGGAGGGUCCAAUCGUUAUCCGGAAUCAUUUGGUUUAAAGUGUACGUAGGCGGCCUUAUAAGUCAGCGGUGAAAGUUUUUGGCUUAACCAAAAAAUUGCCAUUGAUACUGUAGGGCUUGAAUAUUUGUGAAGUAACUAGAAUAUGUAGUGUAGCGGUGAAAUGCUUAGAUAUUACAUGGAAUACCAAUUGCGAAGGCAGGUUACUAACAAAUGAUUGACGCUGAUGGACGAAAGCGUGGGUAGCGAACAGGAUUAGAUACCCCGGUAGUC